rnacentral:lncRNA from 1 species
CCGUCUUCUUCUUCUUACUUGAGAAGCAAGGAAGAAGCUGUUACCACAACCAUGAAGCCCAUAGAACCAUGCGAACCCCUAAACAUGACAAAAGAAGUUCAGGAGCUUGGCGAUAAGACGAACAUGGUGAAGAAAGCUCCGGAAGAUCCAGAGAUUGGUGUGUUUGGAGCUGAGAAGUACUUCAACGGAGACAUGGAUUCAGACCAGAGUUCUAGUGUUCUGUCUCUGGCAAACACAGAAGUUGAGAGAUUCGUUGUUGAUUCCAAGCAGAGCGAGAAGAGGUCUACUGGAACUCCGAGUGUCCGCUCUGACUCAAGCUGGAAUAGUCAGAGCAUAUUACUUCAGAACAAAUUGGUUAAUAGCUGCAACAGUUCCUUGCAGGAGAAGAAACACAAUAGUGAUCACAUUCCAAAGGUGAACAAUAGUAAGAAGAGUUUUAUCUCAAACCUAAGGUGUAAAUGCGUGUGUACUGAUGAGAACUCAGUCGAUGUCGAUGAUAAGAUCUCAGUUAAGAUUCAGAAGCAAGAAGAGUUGGUGCAGAGGAAGGCUCCUGAAGUGUUUGGUUCUCCUCUACACAUUGAGAAGAGGGUUUUUGUUCAGAAGAAGCUCACAUUACCUCCAUGGGAAUCAAGAAUAGAGGAAGAAGACACAAAGAGUGAUUCCAGCUCGGAUCUUUUCGAGAUAGAAAAUCUUACAGGGAAACCAAAACCUAUUCUUGGAAGGCAAGGAAGCGAUCCGGCUUCACCUACAUGUUAUGCUCCAAGUGAAGUUAGCAUAGAGUGGAGCAUAGUGACAGCAAGUGCAGCAGAUUUCUCUGUUAUGUCAGAAUGUGCAACAAGCCCUGUAAGAAGAAACCGAUCUUCACAGAUUCCUCAGAUCCCUACUAAUACUUACAUCGAUAAAAACGCACCGCAGAGGCAGAAAUCAAGUAGCAGCGGAAAGGGUGGUUUCUUGAGCUGCAAGAGUCAUAAAUCUGUUAUGGUUUCUAGUGAUUCAGACAGAAGAAGUAGCAUGAACAAGACAUCCAUGAGUUAUGUCCCGAGGUUCCCAAUGGAGACUACUAAAC